UGUAAAGUUCAAGCUCCGAUUUGAGGGCGAACCGCGAAUGGCUCAUUAAAUCAGUCAUAAUCUACUUGAUUGUUUGAGGUUUAAAUGGAUAACUGUGGUAAUUCUAGAGCUAAUACAUGCACAAAGGGGGCGACUGUUUAACGACAGAAGCUCCGCGUUUAUUAGACUAAGACGGGCGGGAAGAGUAAAAAUUUCCAUCUAAAUUAAGGGGAUUUGGAGUAAUUAAGGGGUGAAAGCCCAGGCGGCCGAGCGGCCCCCCCAAAUGGAACUAUGUUCCAGCCAGCCAAAUCAAUCGAGUGUCUGCUCUAUCAACUGUGGAUGGUAGGAUAAUUGCCUACCAUGGUGAUGACGGGUAACGGGGAGUUAGGGCUCGACUCCGGAGAACAAGCCUGAGAAACGGCUAGUAGGACUAAGGUCUGCAGCAGGCGCGAAACUUACACAAUGCUAGAUUACAAUUAGCGAUGUAGUGAAGAAAAAUAACGAUGUACUUACAUUUAAACAUGUUAGUAUAAUUGGAAUGAGACGACUAUAAACCAGUUAGUCGAGUAACAAAUGGAGGGCAAGUCUGGUGCCAGCAGCCGCGGUAAUUCCAGCUCCAUUAGCAUACAUUAAAGUUGUUGCGGUUAAAAAGCUCGUAGUUGAAUUUGAAGCGGGCUCUAUUGGGCGGGUGUCGUAAAGGUGGAUGUUCCACUUAGGUGAUCUUCCGCUGGCGCUCGCUUCCAUUAGGAACCCGCUGUUUCGUCACUUCAUUCAGUGCGAAGCGGGCCGGUGCGAGAUAUCUUUAAUUAGAAAUCACACAACGGCAUGUUUACCUUGAGAAAAUUAGAGUGCUCACAGCAGGCAGUUGGGGUGUAAAAGCUCCUUUAUGCUUGAAUAAUGUUGCAUGGAAUAAUAGAAUACGGCCUCGGUUCUAUUCUGUUGGUCUUAUAGAACAACAAACAAGUUGGCAAAAGGCGAUCAAAAGUUUGCUGGUAGCGUGAGUUGGACCAAAGGUUGAGUUGCCUGGAAAAAUUCUUUUUUUCAGACCCUCCCCUAUAAUCCCUCUCAUCGAGCGCUGCCUUCACCCCCGCCCCCCCCAUGUGACGCAGUGGUUAAAAAAAAUACUCGCGGCGGCCUCUAUAGUGCCUCGUGAGAGGUGAAAUUCUUACACCGAUGCAAGACUAACUGAAGCGAAAGCGUUUGCCGAGGAUAUUUUCAUUAAUCAAGAACGAAAGUUAGAGGUUCGAAGGCGAUCAGAUACCGCCCUAGUUCUAACCAUAAACGUUGCCAACUAGCAAUUGGGUUGCGAUUCCUUUAAUCGAGGCCUAAUAAACCUCGAUCAUUAUGAUCCACCCAGCGGCUCUCGUAGGGAAACCAAAGUGUUUGGGUUCCGGGGGAAGUAUGAUUGCAAAGUUGAAACUUAAAGGAAUUGACGGAAGGGCACCACCAGGAGUGGAGCCUGCGGCUUAAUUUGACUCAACACGGGGAAACUUACUAGAUUAGAACUCUGGAAUGAUUGACAGAUUGAUAGCUCUUUCUUGAUUCAGAGGAUGGUGGUGCAUGGCCGUUCUUGAUUCGUAUUCCGAAACGUCUGCUUAAUUGCGAUAACGAGUGAGACCUCACCCAACUAACUAGUCGUUCGGUGCGCUGUGGGACGCAAAAGUCUGCUUUGGUUGGUUGUUAGGGAAGAGUCAAAUCCUACUUAGCAACUGCCGGAUCCAGAUGUCCUCUGCUCGUCGGCGGACUUCUUAGAGGGAUAAACGGUGUUUUAGCCGUAAGAAACGAGGCAAUAACAGGUCUGUGAUGCCCUUAGAUACUCUAGGCCGCACGCGUGCUACAAUGGCGUGUGCAGAAAGCUUGUUCGAGGUUCGUCUGGAGAGAACUAAUCGUUUGGUGUUAGGUAGGUAGCAAUAUUUGCUUAGCAUCGGCGGAAAAGUGACUCCAGUUAGCGGGCCGAGAGAAACCGUAGUCGAAAGAUUACGGCAAUCAAAAAUACACGCCGUGAUUUGGGAUUGGGGAUUGCAAUUGUUGCCCAUGAACGAGGAAUUCCCAGUAAGCGCAAUUCAUCAUAUUGCGUUGAUUACGUCCCUGCCCUUUGUACACACCGCCCGUCGCUACUACCGAUUGGAAGUUUUAGUGAGGCAUUUGGACCUGCUGACCUAAGCGAGGGGCAACCCUCGCAGGCUGGCGGGGAAGUCUGUCGAACUCAAACUCUAGAGAAGUAAAAGUCGUAACAAGGUUCCGU
rnacentral:rRNA from 1 species